rnacentral:lncRNA from 1 species
UUUUUUUUUUUUUUUUUUUUGCAUUUACUGUAAAUGCUAUGUCAUUAGAAUUGAUUGAAUCAAAUCCUUCACGGUAAUUUCAUGCAGCUCUUCAUAUUAUACAGUAAAUUUCUCAAUCAUAGAUUUAACUUAUUAAGAAAGAAAAAAAAAAGGGAAAAAGAAGUAAUAUCAUAUGAUUUGAUUUGCUUAACUAUCUAUAUAAUAUAUAUUGCCAAGUCAAUGAAUCAGUGAGGAUUUGAUUGUACUUAUUCUCUGCACUGAUGUGGCUAACUAUCUAAUUGUAAUUUUGAGUUCACUUUCCAUUAUAGUGGACAAACAUUAUAAAUACUUAGUUAUGAGAAUUUGAAGCACAAUAUUUUUUUUAUUUGAUUUGUUUUAUACAAGGGUUAAAAGUUUCCUAGGUUUGGAUAUCAGGAUCAACAUAGUUAAUAACUAAUGCAAUGGUCAAAAAGUUCCUUCCUUACUUACACUACAUAACUUCCUGAGUUGUGUUCUUGAAUGUGAACUCAUGCUUGAUUGCUUUGCUUAGCUAAAGAUCCCUUUUCCUUUGCUUGAUUGCAUUAUCACAUAUCAAAAUUUCAGGGUGAUCCUUUUACAUACAAAGCUUGACAAUAGACAGUGUUAAAAUUUUAAAAUACACACUAUGAAUAGAAUUGCAUAUACAUUUGAAAGUAUAGUAUAAUUCAUGUAGUAGGACUUUGAAAUUAAAGAAAGAUAGGUUCAUUUGAGCAAAAUUUAUAUUUGCCUUAAUUAGCUUUCAUGACAUUUCAAAAUCAAAAUAUAGAAUGGUGACACUAAACAAAGCAUUUAAAAACCAUAAAAAAAAAGUAAAAAACAGUCUGAGAACUAAAGUGAUAAAGCAAACAGCAAAAUCUGGAGCAAGAGCCUUAAUAUCUUAUUCUAUAUGGUGAUUGGGGCAUGCAAUGAUGCUGUUUUUUUUUUUUUUGGUUGAAUUCCAGUAUUCUAUCCAUUCAUUCAAUCUCUCACUUAUUUUGCUGGAGAUAAAUAAUAUCAUGAGAAGGGAUAUGCUGCAUCAUCCUCACCUAUUCAAGAAGAUAGCUUUGGAAUUUUGAAUUUUUAGUAUGCAGCAGACAUGAUAAAAUUUUGAGGUAUGAUAUACAUGGAGAAGUCCUGGAUUAACUUCAUAUACUUUCACUUUUUUUUUUUUUUUUGGAUUCUACAUUUUCUCUCAAAUUCUAAGCUAAUCUUUGGAAAUGACCUUAAUUGUCUUGGUUAACAACUGUUUAGCUCUGUGCAUAAUCUGUUGUGUAUACAAAAUUAGAUUUCCUAAUGUACCUUUUACGUAUAUGCUCGAUUAAUUUAAAGAUUAAUCAGUUUUCUUCACCAACUUUCAGUUUUUAUGAUUCUUAGUAGUAUGACGAGUUGUUGCUUUCAGUUUUUAUGAUUCUUAAUAGUAUGAUGAGGUCUCAAAUUAAUAAUAAUAUAGUAUGAAAGACGAAGUUUAUUUGGUUCUCUUCUAAAAUGGAACCUUCUUCAGUAGGUACUAUAUUAGUAUAUCUUACUUGGUGUUGGUAAAUUGUUUUAUAUGGUUUACACUUGACAAAAAGCAAAAAAGAAUUGGAGAAAAUUCUCAAUGAAUAAAACUAAAAAGUGGAGAAAAUCCUCAGAAAAUUAUAAUAUUAGUUUUCCAAGGCCUAUUUCAGUUUGUGAUGGAACUAUAUUGAACUUUACAAGAGAAAUUGUUGCAGGCUUGUCAGAAGCAGCAUUAGUGUUCAAAGAUCAGAAAGAAUAUACUAGCAAGUUAGUCCAAUCAGCAGAAAAUUUAUAUAAGUUGGCUAGAAAUCUAGGCCCUCUGAAAGAAACUAUAGACAUGUACAUAAAUUGAAGAUUGUGAUGGACAGACUAGAGAGUUUUAUGAGACAAGUUACAGUAAUGAAUUAGUUUGUAGAGCAACUUGGUUAUUCUUUGCCGGUGGUAAUAGUGGUUAUCUUGAUAAUGUUAAACAUUACUAGGCGGGAAUGUCUGCACAUCCCGUAGGUGUUUGGCUCAUGUGGUUAAAGAAGAUUUUUUAGGUGCCUGUGGUGAGCAAAUAAAUGAAGAUAAAAAUAAGAUAACAACGCAUAUUAAGUAAUACUAAGGAAAUAUAGCUUCUGCUGAAAACCAUUAUGAAAUACUGAGGUGGCGUUUGGUUCGCACAUUGGAAUCGGAUUCGGAUUCGGAAUCGGAUAUUCUGGAUUUGGAAUGAAGUCAUUCAUUCCAAUACAUCUGUUUGGUUCAAGUACCUGGAAUGUGUACCAUUACUAUAGUUGAUGUUUGAUUCGUCGGCUCUUUCGGAAUGGAAUAUAAUAAAUAUAUUAUAAAUCACAUCAUAAAUGAUAGUCAUUGGCUCUUUGUAAAUGGGAUAUAAGAAAUUUUCACUAAUUAAAUAUAUUGGUAUAAAUGUAUUAGUAAAUUUAGUAUAACUAAUUAAUAAUUUCUAUUAGUAAACAUGUAUAAUUAUUAGUAUAAUUGAUAAUAUCAAUUAUAUUACAUAAAUUAAUAUACAUUAUAUAAUACAUAUAACUAAUAAUAUUAUUAUUAUAAGUUUGUAACUAAUUAAAUUAAAUAUUAUAUAUAUAAUUAAAUAUAAAUAUACAAAUGUUAUAAUAUAAAUAUAUAAUUAUAAUUAUAUAAUAUAUACAAAUAUUUUAUAUAACUAUAAUAUAUAUUACAUAUUGAAUAUAGUUAUUAUUAUAUAUUAUUAUAUUUAAAAUAAUAAUUAUAAUUAUAUAACUUAUUAAUAUUAUAUACAUGUAUAUAUUAUAAUUAUAUGCACAUAUAAUAUACAUUUAUAAAUAUACAUAUAUAUUAUAAAUAUAUUAUUAUAUAAUAUUAAUAAAAUUAUAAUAUAUAUUAUAUAAAUAUAAUUAUAUUUAACUAAAUAAUUAUAAUAUACAAUUAUAUAAUAUAAAAAUAUCAUUAUUAUAAAUUUGUAACUAAUUAAAUUAAAUAUUAUAUAUAUAAUUAAUUAUAAUUAUGCAAAUGUUAUAAUAUAAAUAUAUAAUUAUAAAUAUAUAAUAUAUAAAUAUUAAUUGUACUAAUAUUUUAUAAAUAUAAUGCAUAUUAGUAUUAAAUAUAGUUAUUAAUAUAUAUUAUUAUAUUUAAAAUAAUAAAUAUAAUUAUAAUUUAUGAAUAUUAUAUACUUGUAUAUAUUAUAAUUAUAUGCACAUAUAAUAUACAUUUAUAAAUAUACAUAUAUAUUAUAAAUAUAUUAUUAUAUAAUAUUAAUAAAUUUAUAAUAUACAUUAUAUAAAUAUAUAUAUUUAACUAAAUAAUUAUAAUAUAUAUUUAUCUAAUAUAGUAAUAUUAUAAUAAAAUAUUAUAAUUAUAAUAUGUUAUAUAUAUAUGUAUAUAUUAUAAUAUAAAUAUAUAAUAUAUAAUAUAUAUAAAUAUUAAUUAUACUAAAUAUUGUGUAAUUAUAAGAUUUUGGAAUCAUACUUGGGUUUUGGACAAAACCCACCAACUUACCAAGGAAUGGAGGAUUGCCAAAUUUGUAGACAUCAUUCCAAAGAUUCAAUUCCCAUAGUAGUGAACCAAACAUCAAUUAUGGAGUUUAUUCCAUAAUCUCAUUCCGAUACCCUUUUACCAAACGCUCCCGAGUGUAAAGGCUAAAAAAAAUAACACAGUCUUAAAAGUAGAAAGGGGGAAAACCGAAGAAUGUGAAUGAGAAAAAAUUGAAAGAGCCAUAAUUGAUGCUCAGACAAUAACUCAGUAGUAUACCCACGCUAUUGGCCAUUUAAUUGGGAUUUAAAUGGUGUUUUAUUAUUGAUAGAGAAGCUGUUUCAAACGGCUGAGUUUUAGAUAUAGGAAAACAGGUGUUGAUAUAAUUAUGAGUGUUUUAGACAAUUGAAAUGCAGUUAUACUGCAAUUAUUGAUGUUAUCAGCAACAUGUCUCUAUUUUAAUUACAUAAUAACCCCAUUUCAAUAAUUGCACAAAAACACACGCUUAUAUGAAUUUAGCCAAAUGCACAAAUGAUUGCCAAAUAAGCUCACAUUCCACAAAUACCCAGAUGUGUCUACAAAUACAAGUUUUAAAUGUAUAAACAUGGGAGCUUUAAUGUAAAAACACCCAAACACAUGUUGCAAUUAGUUGCACCAAAAUGUUGAAAAAACUAACAUAUUUUCCAAAUUUCCAAAAUGCCUCCACCCAUGCGGUUGAAAUUCAACUCUCUGUUUGACCAAAACUCAAUCUUAUAAAGUAUAAGGAUUAUAUACGGUCUUCUUUCUUCCUAUAUUCUAACCGUUAUUAUGUUUUUUUCCGGAUUCUUUUUGUCAUUAAGUUAAGGUCUUUUAGUGUAAAAUUUAGCUCCAAUACUCUGACUUAUAGAGUUUAGGUCUAUGAAUGAAGAUGGUCAACUUGAAAAAAAAAAAAAGAAGAAGAAGAGAAAUGAUUUUUCAGGUCAAUCUUAUUAUGCUUUUGAAGUUUAUUUUAGAAGAGAGUGAAGGAAACGAUCUUAAAGCAUGCCUCUUCUUCAACCUAAUUUUGUUGUAAGUUGACAAUAAAAAUGGAAAUCAUAACACCAAAUGAAGAAGCCUGACCUAUGGAAUGAACACUUCUUCACAUAUCCAAUUGUUUGGCAAUAGUCACAUUCCACACCAUAUCAUAUUAUUUGCUCUUUAAGGAAAAGACCAAAACAUGAACAAAACAUGAACAACAUAGCAGAAGCAACAGGAGAGAUGGGAACCACCAAAGCCAAGGGUGGUUAACAUUAACACAGAUGCAGCCAUCUCAAAUCAAUCUGUAAGAACAGGAAAGGGAAUCAUAGCAUGGAACUGGACUGGAAAGCUAAUACAAGCAAGGGGUAUAACAAGAAAUUUCUAAUUUUGUGAUGAAUUUAAAAAAAAUUCUACAAAAGGGGUGAUUUUGGCAUACCAUUCCAUCCGGGGGUCUUCGCAUUUCAUGAAUGCGAGGUUAGAGAAGAGCUCGCAUUCCGCGAAUGCGAGCUCCUCUUUAUUUUUUUUUCUUUAUUUUUUUUAUUAUUUUUUGAGAGCUAGGGAAUUAUUUCCAGAAAGCUCGUAAAUGUUUUUUUUAAAAUGUUGCAAAUAUUUAAAAUUUUGCAAAUAGCUCGCAUUUGUUAAAUGUGACCUCCAAAAAUUGUAUUUAACUUUUUUGUUAGAUUUCGCAUUUAUAAGUAUGACUUUCAGAAAAUUAAAUUCAAAAAUGUUAGGAAAAAAAUUUAAAAUGAUAUUUAAGAGCUCCAUAAAAAAUAUAAAAGUAAAUGUAAAUAUUGUUUGUUUUGUAGAAUUUGUCUUUACUAAAAUGGUGUCGGUAGUAAAAUCUUAUUUUAAAAUCUCUACUAAAAUCUUAUUUUUCGGAGAAAGGUUAGAGAAAUUUUGUUUAAAAAUCUGUAAUUAGCAGAGGAAUAAUGUUUUUUUUUUAUUUUAAAACUUGCACGUGGCUAAAGUCAUCAAAUAUGUGCUAAAACAAAAUCAGAUUAACAAUAAUCUUUUUAAUAUAAUUUACUAUACAUGCAUAAUUCUUUUAUAAUAAAAAAAAUUGGUAAUUGUACGGUUGAAAAUACGUUAUUUUAUUAUAAUACAUUUAAAUGGUGAAAAAAAUACACAUGCAUAGUUCUUUCUAUUUCAUAGAUCAACGUUCUUUCUAUUUUAUACAUCAAUGUAAAAAUAGAAUGAAAUUGUUAACAUGUAAGGUGUUGACUAUUUGUUGUGAAUAAAAUAUUAAGUGUUUUUCCUUUUGUAUCAAAUAAAUUUUUUUGAUCAAAUUCUAAUUUUCCUUUGUUAUUAAUGAAUCGUAUUUAUUUGUUGACACCGAUGAAUAUUAGUUAUAAGAAUAUAAUAAUUAAUAGUCAUUAAUAUAUGUUACAAUUUCAACUGUAAUUUUAGAAAUUUCAUAACGCAAUGUUAUUUAAAAAAAAUUAUAUAAGUUAUUUUUAUGAAGUGCAUGUUAUUUGUUUGGUAGUUGAAAAGGAAAAGGAAAAAAAUUAAAGCAAAGAUCUAGCGAUUAAAUCUUGCGUGUUUUACCUAACUUACAAUUAUUUGGGCUGGAUUACUAUUUUGAUUAAAAAUAUAAAGCGAUAAUGAAGACAAAGUUAUACUGCAGCAAAAAUCCUAAAACCCUAAGUGCUAAAGCCGUAAAACACUAAAUCGUAAAUCUUAGAAACCAAAUCCUUGUAAACCCUAAAACAUUAAAUCAAGGUUGUUGGGUUUAUUAAUAUCCAUUAAAAAAUAAUUUUGCGGCACGAUAGGAUUACUAUUUUUAUUACAAAUCUAAAGUCCUAAUCAAGGCACACUAUUGUCAAACUAAAAUCCUACGGCGGUCAAACCCGAAAGUACUAUUCUCGUAAAACACUAUUUCUUGAUCUCUGAAACCGUAAAAUCCUGAAUCCUAAAAGCCUCAAACCCUGAGUGGUAUCUCUAAUGUAGUCAGUAGCAGAAUCAAAGAUAUGAUAUUUUCUUUUGUCUACAACUCAAUUGGUCUUCUGUUUUGUUGCAGAAGCAUGUGCCACCGAUUUCUGUCCCUCAAAAUAGCUGGAAAAGUUGUGAGAAAGGUAAAGGAAAACAGGUGUGACACUUGCUGUAGAGAAAGACAGAUCCGAGCCUCGGAUCGGAAGGUUGAAUAUAAAUCCAAGCUCGGAUCAUUAGGAUCCGAGAACUUCCCAUGAUGGAUCCGAGGUCGGAUCUUCUGUCCUCGGAUACACUCCUACAGAAGUACAGACGAGGGAUCGGAUCUGUCCUAGCUCUGACGGAUCUGGGCUCGGAUCGGUUCCAUUAAAUUUCCAGUUUUUUCGCUUCUUUCGUUUUUCCUUCAUUUUUGCUCCUAAUUUCUUGUGCACUUUAUCCUCUGGACUAUCUUGACAUUGAUUUCAGCUCGUGCAUGAACUUCAUAUGGAAUGUCCAUCACAAUCUCACAAAAAUAAUGCAUUUAUCCACUCAUUUAAGCAAUUCAAAAAAAUGGGCAAAAUUGAACAUUUUGGCCAUUAACUUGAAAGUUUUGACAAUAUUUUAUACAAUUUUUGACAGAAUUUUCCCUAAAAAAUGGACAAAACUCCCUGUCAACAACCUCAAAUUCAAGAAAAUUAACCUUAUGACAAUAUUUCCAAAUACAAAACCAAUAUUUUCAAGCCAUAGACAACUAAAAUUAUGCAUUUAAAAAUACAAUGAGAGCCACUCAAAUAGGUGGUGAUGCAAUUUGAAGCCCUUAAUCAUCACAAUCAUCCAAUUUCUGUCCAAAAUGAGACAACAAGGGUACCAAACACCAUAGGUAGCACAAGAUGAUUCAACUAAAAGAAAAAUAAAAUCUACAAAGUUUGUCUUAACAAAAGAAAAGAAAAAUAAAGAAAUAAAAGAUCCAAUCCGCUAAAGAGCAUCAUGGCUGCUGGGAACGAGGGUCUACUGCCUCCUCGGCUCCAUGAGGACCCUGUGAGGUACCAAUAUGGCCCUCCUCCUGAUGAGGUGUAGGAGUAGGGGACCGGCGGAUAUGGAAAUGAUCCUCAAUCGCACGAAGACGGCGAUCAUGUCGGUCGAGUCGCUCGGUCAUCAUCCGCUCCGUCUGGUCAAUGCACUCGACAACUCGCGUCUCCAUACAACAAAUGGCAUUUAGGAGCUCUUGCCACUUGGAGCGCGGUUGAGGAGGUAGUCGCGGAAUCGGAGGAGGAAGAGUCUGUUGUGCCUCCGUCCCUUGAGUUUCCGCUUGUGGUUCAGUGUGAGGCGGAGGCUGAGUGGAAGUCGAUGCUUCUCCUGUGUCCCGGACCAAAGCAGCUCCAAAAUCCGUAGAAAUACCCAAGGAUUUGAGUAUUGUAGCAUUCACUUCCUCGGCCGACCUAGUUACCACCGCUCUCUCGGUUCCAAGAGGAACCUUGAACUUCUCAAAAACAAGUGAUAGCAGUCGAGGAAAUCCGAAACAAGUGUCGCCGGCCCUCAUGCGAGCUGUGGUCCGCAUAUAACUGAUGAUAAUGCUGGGUAGAGGAAUUCCGGUCAACUGCCUACCCACUCCAUGUAUCAUCUUAUCCAGAAAAUAGAGAUCGCUAUUUCGGAUCUCCCGUUUGCCACUCUUUUUCGGCACCACAUUAAAGGCAAAAAGAUAGAAGAUCAGGUGGAACCGAUGAUCGAAGGAGUCGGCAUAUACCGUGAGUUUUUUCGAACUCCUCGCUCACGGUACUGCCCCUUUAGACGUCCCACAGCCUCUCCCACUUGCCAAGGAUCUCUAGCUUUGAACUCCUUGGUCAAUUUGACGUCGUCGCCUUCGUCUUUGAGUUGGACGAAGCGUCUCAGUGCAUCUCGAUUGAGAGCCACUCUCGUGCCUCUAACCCAUGAGACAAUGAGGUUGCCACUGUGGCUCUACUUGUUUUCUAUAUUAGCAUAGAACUCCCGGACAAGGUUGGGAUAGUAGUGCUUGGGCAACUGAAGAAUGUUCUCCCAUCCAAGUCUCUUGAAUGCUGUAGAAAUGUGAUAGUGCGCGUCCACCUCCGGUGCCAAGUGUUUCUCAAUGAUGAUCUCCUUGUCCAGUCCGGCUUCAUACCACUCUUGGUUUUCGAGCGAUGUGAAUCGUGUGGUAUCGUAGUCUGGCGGUGGCUCGUCACGGCUAGUAGAUGCGGUCUUCCGGCGAGAACGCGGUGGCGGCUCAGGUGAGGAAGAUUCUUCCUCAGGUGACUCCUCAUGCAAAGAGGGUGUGUGUUCCUCACUUGAGAAAGGAGUAGGAGUACGAAUGCGAGCCCUCCUUGUGCGAGCCAUAAUACCUAUACCAAAACAAGAUGAACGUACAUUAGAAAACGUAUAAACUUGCUCACACAUGUUAAAUAAGAAUUUAAGAAAAUUUCGGCAGAGUUUCCCCUUGUAAAAGGGCUAAACUCCCUGCCAACAUGUACCAAAAAAAACACAACCAAAGAUCCUAUUUUACGCAUUUCAAGCUCAAUUGCAUAUUUUCAAGUAAAAUCGUCCUCAAAGAAAUGAAUCAUUUGAAUCUUAACCAUCAUUUUAACAAUGUAUAUGCCAAUAUAAUCAUAAUUUUAACCAAGAAUCACAGAACAAUUGACUAUAGCAUUCUUAAUAAAGUGCAUACAAAUGAGCCGUAAGUUUGCCAAAAGGUUUGAACGUACUUAACUAAAUUAUAAACACGCUCUUUUACCCAAUGGAAUGUGAUCUAGUUGGCAUAUCAUUUUCAUUUGGUACAACAAUAACUUAUACUCCUAAGAACAAAUUCAUUCAUUCAAUGAAAACGAACAUUCACAAGUCUAAAUCACUAAAAUGUUCAUGCCCAAAAAUUGAGAAAAAAUCUUUAAAAUAUCACCAAAUCCACAGUUUUCUCAAAAAUAAGCAUGAAAAUAGCUGUAACAAUCUCUUUAAGCACAAUGUGGCACAAUUAUAUCAAGAAAUCCCAACAAAUAUGCAUUUAUCAUAAUAUUCCCAAAAACUAGAAAAACCCGAAUAAGAAAUUAUAAAAUGUCAAAGAAAUUCGCAAAUUGUUACCUCAAAUGUGUAGAUUGAUAAUGGAGGAUGAAAAAGAUGUAAAAUUUUACACAGAAACACGCCAAAAUACCCCCCAAGUUGAGGAAAUCAGGUGCGGCCUGAAUUGAGGUUUUGCAGAUCAAAACCCUUGUUUGAUGUUGUUUCUUGGUAAAAUAGAUUGGGGUUACUGAUCAGAAGAGGUUUGGGGAGGUUUUUAUGAAGGAAGAUUGGAGAUUUGAUGGUUAAAAUGGAAGAUUGGAAGAAAGGGGUGGGGUUUCGGUGAGAAGAGGGAAGAAAAUUUUUGAAAAGUGCUGAAACGAAGCCUCGUUUCUGCUAUAUCCGCGAACCGAUCCGAGCUCGGAUCGGUUCAUGAAGGCCUCGGAUCAGUCUCAACAGAAACACAGGCGAUCCCUCGGAUCUAUCUGGGUUGAAAUGGAUCCGGGCUCGGAUUUAUAGAUCCGCGGUCGGAUCUUUCUGGGCUUCCUAGGAUCCGAGCUCGGAUCCGUGUUUCUCUGCAAUAAUUGCAGAAACUGCAAUUUUUCAAACUUUUUUCCCCUUUUUCGGCCAAUUUCAAUUCACACAUUGGACAAACAUUUUAUCAAUUCUAACCUCCUACGCACAUGUAAUAUACCAUAAACACAAUAUCCAUCCUCUCAAAACACAACAAACACAUUUACAUUGGAAAUCGAGGGGUGAGGUUCUUUGGUCAUUUUUGCACUUUUACACUAAAAUGGCAUUUUUUGGCCUUAAAUACAUAUCAAAUGAGUCCAUGAGAUUUUAUAACCAUGAUAUCACCAAAAACUCACUUGAAAUGCACAAUGCAUGUAUAUGCAUGGGAAUUUUAAGCACUUAAAACACAAUUUGGUUAGAAAAACUCCCUUAAACCACGUGUUCUUGAAUUGCACCUUCAAGAUGGAAGUUCCGACAUGUAACUAAUUUACCGUGUAUAAAAUAGAGGUGUAGAGCUGUAUAAUGCAUAAGAAUACUCAUAUAACCUACAUUUUUUUGUAGUGUUUAAAAGAGUACUCAUAUAAAGUGAGAACUAAGAUACGCGCGAUCGCGUUGUUCCACUCAUAUUCCUGAAAUUUUAGAAUAUAUACAAAAUGUCACAAACAAAAGUAUGUAAUCCAUAAGUUAGGUUAUUUAUAUAAUAACAAUACAAGUAGCGUGCAAUCAAUGCUGCCCAAGUUUCCCAUGAGUACCACAUGUUGUUGGUUUGGGUAUUCUUUGGCUUCGACGUGGUUGGUUUGGCACUACUGUAUGGACUUGAGUAAUAUGUGUCAACAGUGUAGCAUCUUGAAUUUCAGUGCUUGUGCCUUCACCUCCUUCACAUUGCUCAGAAACAUCGCGAUGUGAGUCCCUAUCGGGCGUAAACUCUGUGUACGUCACAGGGGACCUGUGAUAAUGGCCAAUCGAUACACCUCCCUCAUGCAUGACUUCGAUCUGAGGUGUGACAAAAGUAGAUGCCCCAGCUUGGUCUUCAGUUGCCAUCGAACCUCCAUGGAAUCCAGUUUGUAUGGCGGGUUCUGGUGAUCGGAGUCUACGACGUCGCCCACCGCCAUGCUGACUUCCGUGGGUAUUUCUAGGAGCUCGCUGAAUACGACAUGGAUCAGGGUAUAGUGGAAUCUCAUGUGGUACGUGUGGAGGACGAAAUGCAAGUCGGCGGGACUCUCCUACAUGAUGCAAAGAUAUGGAUGCAAAGUCCCUCAACUCUUGAAAAUAUCCACUGUGUUAUUCAUCACUAACUACAAGAGAGUCAUGUGCCAUGAAAUACAUGCGAGACAUGGCAUCGCUCUGGAAAAACAAAUAUAAGAAUUAGAAGGACAUACAGUGGUAAAAAAUAGUUUAAAAGGUCAGCAAACUAUUUAUGAUUAUUAAAAGUGGGUUGGAAAUAAACUAUACAAGGUAUUGUGCCCUAGCGCUAUCACCCUGAAAGCCCUCAGGGAAAGCGGGAAAUCGACUCGGAUUUGAAAUAUAAAUCACCGUGCGCUCCCGAUACCACUGAACAUACUCAUCCGAUGGAUAUGUAGUAUCUUCAAUUACUGUGCCAUCUUGUACAUGCACACGUCGAUCAGUCCAAAUAUCAAUAUAUUGUCUAUGCGUGGUGCUCCAGUCUUGAUUCGCCCUACCACGACGAUCUAGAGAAUGUAGAGCUGCCUGAUUAUCCGUCAACCUCAUAUCAGGCAGGGACUGAUGAAACCCAAACUGCCGCAUAACCCGAUGAGGGAGGUGCGGCUCAACUACAUCCCACCAAAUAAAAUACGUUACGGACCUCCAAAUGUCCUGACCUGCAGUACAAUACGCAGGAAGAGAAGCGAGAACGUCCUCCGAAUAUGGCUGCCAUAUGAACUGAAAAAAAUAUAAAAUGAAAGUUGUUUCAUUUUUUGUAUUAAGAAAUAAUAAAACUUCCGAAUGUUCAAUUCUAACAAAGGGAACCGAUCCGAGCUCGGAUCGAAACUGAAUGAGUGCCGAUCCGGCAGGGUUCGGAUGUAGGCCUGCGGAAGCACAAACGAUCCCUCGGAUAUCUUAGAAGAAUUUUUGGAUCCGAGCUCGGAUCAAUGGAUCCGCGGUCGGAUCCGUCUGGGCACUUAGGAUCCGAGCUCGGAUCUGUAGUUGUCUGCACUAAUUGCAGAAACUGCAAUUUACCAAACUUUUUCGAAUAUUUUCCAAAAAAUUCCAAAAAACGCGGGUGAAAACCGAUUUAUGAAAUCUAACCUCCCACGCACAUGUAAUAUACCAAAAAUACAAUACCCAAUCUCUUAAAACACAUCAAACACAUCUACAUUGCAAAUCGAAGGGUGAGGUUCUUUGCUCAUUUUUUCAUUUUUACACAAAAAAGCCACUUUUGGCCAUUACAUGCACAUCAUACGCUAGUCAAUACCUCUUCAGCCCGCAGGCCUGUCAACUGAUCUCGGAAUGCGGGCACAACAUGCCUAACAACUCUGUGUACGUCCAAGUCAUUAUUCCACCUAAAAAUAUAAAAAGUAGGAACCUGUUUAGAACAAAUUAAAGUUGGUUCGAUAUCAAAUGUCACGGAAACACCCGAAAUAAGGGCGAAACGACGCACCUAGCUCAAUAUGGACCAGGGUAAUGCUCCAACGGUGCGAUUCGGUCCGGACGCAUGGUUGGUAUAUAUUCCCAAAUCCAGAGCUGUUAGAAAAUUAGAAUUAAUGUUAAAAUUGCAAAAUGAUAAAAUGCAAAAAAUCGAAGAUAAAUGUCCCUAUUGAGUGCAAUGUACCUGUAGCAAAACUAAUAGACCGGCAAUAGCCGAUUUGGCAGGAUGCGUGACAUCACAAAAUGACCGAUAGAGAGUUGCCAAACACGCACUACCCCAACUAUAUUGCCCAACAGUUUCCAAGUCCCGCAGUAAUGGAAGAUACAACAAAGGGACUUUGUUGCCGGACUUAUCGGACAAUAAAUGUCCACCUAAUAUCAGUAAGAGGUAGAUGCGCGCACGCUGCCUACAUUCCGCAUCUGAAGCAUCGGGUGGCAACUCUGUAUCCAAAACUCUUGCUAAACAUCCCAACUUUAGCCUCUGUCCAUCAAAGUAUCCAACUGCAGGAGAAAAUCCAAGGAGCUCCUCACAAAUGGCUCCCCACUCCUGAAUGCUGCGGUAUGUGUCUACCCCUAUAACCGGUGGACCAUCGAUGUGCAACCCCCACAACACCUCUACAUCCUGUAAUGUCACGGUAGCCUCUCCAACCGGUAAAUGGAAUGUAUGCGUCUCGGGCCGCCAUCUCUCGACUAAACUUGUGAUCAAAGAAUGAUCAAUCAUCUGAUAUCCACUCUCAAGCACUCCCUCAAAUCUAGCCAAGGCAAUAUAACGAAAAAUCCGAUCAGGAAUAGGCGUAUGCUCCCAAAAUCCUCUGUCACACCGUCUGAUAUCUAACUGAUUGCCCUCAAUAUGUCCGUGAAAAAUGGAAUGCGCCCGGUGUGCAGUUCCCCCGGAUAUAAUGUCGUGCACGUAUGGUCCUGGAUGUAGGCCUGCAGGGAUAGGAGUGUCGGCCAUAAUCCCAAGCAAAUAUCUACAUCAAUUAAAGACCAUGAGUUAUGCAUAAGUAAAACCCUAAAAGUGGGCAGUAUCCAAUUUUGACCUAUAAAUCGCGGGCACGGCUUUUUUUUUUAGCAAAUUUUGACCAUAGAACUAAGAUACAUCGAGUGAGAACUCCAUUUCUAUCAGUUAUUUUUUUUUUAGAAACAUUUGUUAUCACUCUAUGUAUUUAUAUACUGCAGCAAUGUAUUUGUAGUCAUAUUUUAAAACUUGGUUUGACAAAAAAUUUGGCAGAGUCUCCCCUAUAAAGCGGCUAUAACUCCCUGCCAAUAGCUCCUCAAAAAUACUUUGGGGCUGCAGGUGUAAACUGGAAAUUCAAUACUUAUCAAAGUACAUAACGAGGGAUGCAUUUGACAAAUGAUCAAUGAAAGUCACUAAUGUAGUUAUUUAAAAUAAAUUCAGAAUCGAACACAAAUGAACUAGCUCGAACCCCACGUUCAAAAAAAUUGAACUGGCAUGAAACUCAAAUUUCUAGGGAGUCGAUCAAAUCAAGGCCUAUAAUUCAGACAAUUUCUCCUAUUGUGACCCGUCUGAUGACAAUUUCGACAUCUUCUUGGUUCGUCUGGAUCCCUUUCAUCCAUCUCAUUCCGAAUUCUGCUAGCUCGAACCCGCCCUGCCCGAUGUGUAAUAAAUUUGCUCUUGUCUGCCUGCAGCUCCCACCCAGGAUGGAGCCAAGUAUCUUGAUGCGGCAAUGGGUUAAACAUGCCUGAAUACUGGACCGUCCACCUUUUUUUGGUAAACUGCUGGUCCACAAGCAAUUCCGGAUUGUCACCUCUAUUCCUGCACAUCGCCAAAGCAUGUGAACAAGGAAACCUGUAUAUCUGCCACUUUCCACAAGAGCAUGUCUUAUCAAAAAACCUGAUGGUUUGCGUAUUGCCUCCUUUACCAUCGACACGUCGCCCUGUGAUAACCUUAUAUACGCCCGAUGGGCCAUCGAACUCAAUGACUCUGUGGGCGCCUGCCUUCCGCUCAGCAUUUUUAAAACGCCACCAUAUCUUUGGGGGAAAAGGAUUGCGACAAUGUGAAGCAUCUUCCCUUCUCGUCUUAAAUAACGCAACUGUCCGAUGAAAUGUUAUGUCAAUGCAUGCACAAAUUGGCAAAUGCCGUGCCCCGUGCAAGACAUUAUUAUAGCUUUCGGAUAUGUUGGUAGUUAGAAUACCCCAACGACGGCCAUCGUCGUGUGUUAGGCACCACUUUUCUGGACUAAUGGCUGACAGAUAAUUCCAAGCAUCUAGGAACAUGCUCCGUAGUUCUCUUCUGAACAUCCGCCACUUGCGUAAUUGUCUUGCCCUUCCCAUUGCCCAACACAACUUGCGAAGGUGUAAACCUUUGAAGUGUGUCAUCAAAUUGCUCCUAACAUGUCGCAGACAAAAUCUAUGGUAGGCUAAAGAUUCCUCCCAAUAGUCAAAGUGUGUCAUGGUAUAGAUGACACCAGUGUGGCGAUCGGAAAUGACACAGAUAGGAUGUCGAUCAAGUGCCACAUUAUAUCUUAAUUGUUCCAUAAACCACGACCAACUGGAAAUCGUCUCCUCAUCAACUAUGGCAUAAGCAAUUGGCAGAAUCUGGUUGUUCGCAUCUUGCGUGACUGCAACAAGGAGUUUGCCCUUGUAUUCGCCACGCAAAUGAGUGCCAUCAACGCAUAUAACCGGCCUGCAUAUGUGGAAUGCUUCAAUAGCCGGUCCAAAUGCCCAGAAUACAUACUUAAAGGUCUUAACUCGAUCCGAACUAUCCGAAUGAUGCGACCACUCCACCACGGUGCCUGGAUUGGAUUGCACCAGGGCAUCGAGAUACUGUGAUAGUUCGGCAAAAUUCGCUUCCCAAGAUCCAAACACAACCCAAUUGCUUUACGUUUGGCAUACCAGGCUUUUUUGUAAGACACAUCAACCUUCAAGUUUUCUUUAACGGAACUUAGUAUGUUCUUGACCUUUAAUCCAGGGUCAUCUUCAAUGCUACGGAGGAUGUGCCUUGAAAUAAAGGAAGCCGUCAGGCUUGUAUUAUUAUUUCUAAUCAUGUCGCCCAAGCAGUUAUGGUCAUUGACCCACUUUGUAAUUUGCCACAUUCCAUGAGUCUUUUUCUUUACGGCUCUAACACACCAGUCGCAUGGUGGAUACGAUGGCGCGGUUGAAGUGGAAGGAGUUCUUUCAAUUGAUGACUUGCAUUUAGCAAACCACGUGUUACUCUUACUCUCAAUAACUCUGAACUCCCUAUUGUGAUUGAUGGACCACAUCCUAACUGCUCGGCUGAGCUGCUGCUUACUCUCAAAUCUCAUAUGAAGACGUAUAUUAUUAUUCUCCUCACUGAAUAUUACAAUACGCUCCAAUCCAUCCUCCUCUUCUAUAUCAUCAUCAUCUAUGUUCCCAAGAUCGGAGAAAAAUGCCAUUCCUCUUGGCACAUAUGCAGAGCUGCCAGCUGUGCUAUUGCGUCUGUCCAAGUGGAACAUAUCGAGGUUUACUCUUAAACCCCCACCUUCAUGCUCAUCAUCCGAGUCACUACCAGACACAUCUUGCGACUCCGACUCUUCAACCUCUUCCGCAUCAACUUCCGGGUCAUCUUCUUCCAGAUCAUCUUCAAGAGAGCCAAGGAGCCUAUCAUGUAUACUAGCAUAUACAUCAUCUUCAGCUGAACUGCGACAACCUUGCCCAGGGUUAGACUCGAUCCCAUUUGGAGAAAUAUGGCAUGAUGGACCUGGAUCUCCAAAACUUGGAAUCGAAUCCAGGCCAUGAAAAUAUUCCUGGGCACCCAUGGACCCUGAUGUGAGCCUUGGUUCUAAUGAAUCCAUAGAUCGAUCAUCAUGCAUAUAGUGACAUGCCGAUGAAGUCUCUGGAACGACUGAACUAGAACCGAAGUUAAACUUUGUUGGAUCCAUGAAUGCAUGUACAAGCGACAUCAUUGGACCAACAUUACCUAUUGGUCCAGUGAAUACGCUAUUAACUACAGGCAUUUGGACGAUUUCUUCCUUCUCGAUAUAAAUCUCAGCCAUGUAUGAAACUCUUUCGAUCCAAAGAUCGUACAUUACAUCAAGAGUUUCAUCAUCCACCACUGCGGAAACAGUAUAUUUGGAACUCUCCAACGGUUGACGAAGAAACAAUUUCAGCUUGAACAUCCCUUUAUCGACCCCAAUAUAGUGGUAAAUCCUGUCAACCAACUCCCCGUAUCCAAUUCUAUACCUCAAAGUGAAUGUCCGAUUGGAAGUACGAGGCAAAUAACAAACAAAGUCACCCUCGUAAUGUAUUUGUCCUCCCCAGUAUAGGUUUACCCGCAGAGGUCUUUCUACAGACAUGUUUGUAAAAUGAAUCCCUAUUUUGGGGACAAUAUAUUAGAAUUAGUAGUCCAAGGGUCCAAACAAAUGAAAGAGAAUGGACUGUAGGUCGAAAUUGAAACUAUUAUAUAGACUAAUUUCGAUCCAGAUGUUUAUGAAAAAAUUGAAAACAGGUAUGAAAUAUGCUAUAAAUAACGAUAGCAAUAGCCUAAAACUCCGAACGCAAUUUUUAGAAAAUUUGGACAGAGUCUCCCCAAAAAAUAGACGUCAACUCCCUGCCAACCAAUCCGAAAAGGGAACCCGAUGAAGUAGUAAUCACAUUUGCCACACUACAUAUUGUCAAGAGACCAUAUAAUUUUCAAAGUACAAGCGUAAGAAAUGUAUUUAGAAGUUAUAUAUAUUUGGGCUCCACAUUCACACCGCAUAACAAGAUCCACAUUCACAAUGAUGUGAUAUUCUAGCUAUGAAUCUUACAAAAUUAAUGUUGUUUUUCCCUGUAGCAGAUUUUGCCACUUUUGUAGCAUUAUAGAUUUUGCCAACUACAAAAAAUAAAUCCGUCAAUUGACUUUCAAGGUUGGUCAUUGACUUUCAAUCCAUCAAUUAGCCUUAAAAUAAAUCCGUAUUUCAUAUUCUAACGCCCUUUUCUACAAAAACAAAAUUUAACAAACUAUACUAUUUCAACUUGUCGGCAAACAUCCAAUAGUUGUAAUAUAACAUAAAUUAGCUAAUGGCUUGUAUCAAAUCCGAAUUAAGCCUUAUGCAUAAGAAACGGUAGUUGUAAUAUAAAAUAAAUAACCUAAUAGUGAGUUACCCUCACAAAGAAAGAUCUACAAAAAUUUUGACAUAGUCUCCCCUAUAAAUGGCCUCAAACUCCCUAUCAAACAAUCCAAAUAUCCAUGAAAUUCAAAAGCUCCAAUCUAUAAACUACAUAAUGCCAAUAAAGUCUCAAAGCUCCAAUUGCAAAACAUACAAUAUCCAAUGUACAUAGUGUUUCGACCAAAAGUAAUAGGGUCGAUAAAUAGAUUUUAAAAAAAAAAUCUGAUGAAUUUUAAAAGAAUUCUACAAAUGGGGCAUUUUGAGCAUGGGAUUACAUCCAAAGGGUCUUCGCAUUCAGCAAAUGCGAACUCACGGAGCUCGAAUUUUCGCACGACGAAAUCCACAAAAAAUUUUAACAAAAAAUAAAACCACACCUCGCAUUUAUUAUUAUGAAAUGCGAGGAUCCGAGCUCGGAUUAUUUAUGGCAUCCCUCAGAUCCAACAGGGUUCGGAUCCUUCUCAACAGAUGAUCAGACGAGCCCUCGGAUCUGAGUUAACAACUAUGGAUCCGACCUCGUAUCAUAAGGAUCCGAGGUCGGAUCCUUCUGCCUUUAGUCGUAUCCGAGCUCGGAUCAUGCUUUUUCUGCACUAAUUGCAGAAACUGCAAAUAAACUGCAACAAAUUGGAAACAGAAGAAUUGCCCGAAUUCGAAAAAUAUAACGUAUUUCCUCAAAUCCACCACAAAAAUUACAAAAAUAAGCACAACCCACAUCACAUUUACACCCAAAUUUCACAACAAAUCUGAACCUGCUCUUGGAUGAAAGUAUUCAAGUAUUCAUUAAACUUAAAAUGCUAUACGUGAGGCAUUGCAAGUGCAAAAGCCUAACCUUUAUGCUGUUUGACAGUAGCAAUGGGACGGCAAUGCUGGCAAAUUUUGGGAAGCGGCAAACGCGAAACCAGUCUUUGGAUGCUCCGGUCUGCUCCGGUCUUUGGAUGCUUCGAUGUGCAGAAACCAGCUCUGCUUUCUUUGUUUUGCUAUUCAACAAUUCCGAAUUCUUUGUUUGGCUGUUCGACAGCUAUUCAACCAGCUCUUUCUUUGUUCUGCUUCUCCCACUCACUUUUGUCUUUUUUUUUUCGAAAUGGGGUCUUGGCGCUGGAUAGUGCGAGCUCGAUGAGCUCGCAUUAUGAAAAUGUGAGCUCACUGAGCUCGCAUUCCCGGAAUGCAAGCUCGCAUUUUCAAAAUGCGAAGACCCCCAUUUGUAGAAACAACUCCAAAAACCGCCCUCGUUGUAAAAUUCUUUUUUUUUUCCAUCACAAACUAAGAAUUCACCCGGGGUAUAACGGAAUGCAAGACUAGAACAGCUAUUGAGGAAGAAGCUCUAGCAAUAAGAGCUGCACUUAUGAUGGCCAAGGAUGUAGGAUGGACUAAGAUAGAAGUCCAAUCAGACUACAAAUUGGUGGUCAACCAAAUCAAUGCAAGUCAAGACAUUAGCAUUGCAACAGUCCUAGAGGAUAUUGAGAAGAUGAAGGAAGGUUUUGAACAGUGUAACUUCUCUUUUGUGUAUAGAGUAGGGAAUAUGUGUAGCACUAGCUCAACAUGCAAUCAAACCGGUUCAUGAUAUAAAAUGGGACGAUGAGUUCCCAGUAUGGCUAAUGGAUAUAGCAAGAAAAGAUAUGUGGGCAGUUGUCCCUUUUUGUAACCAACUCUUGUACUAUCAAGUGUUAAUAUGUAAAAGUACUAUUUCCAUUUGUUGGAAAAAAAAUAUUAUUUCUUUUUUAAGAAAGCUUAUGUUUAUCAAUUUUGAAUUGCGUUUCCAGCCAACAUGUAUAGAACAAAUUUGAAAGUUUUAUAAUUGAUAAUAGGACUAGCUAGCAAGGUUAGAGUUUCUGCUAAUAUCGAUAAAAUGAUACUUAAAAAAAAAAGAAAAAAGUUUACGUUUAAGUAAAAACUUAUAACUUUCAAAUUGAAAGAACAAAAUACUCACAUAGAUAUAUCCUUGUAUGUUUGUUACAGAAUUUUCGUAUAAGAUCAUAUCAUUUCUCACUACUUUUUUUUUUAUAAUAAUGAACUUUUUGAGUUACUGAAAUACAGAAAGGUGUGUGUGUGUAUAUAUAUAUUAUGGAUAUUAAUAUAUAUUUGAAAAAAAAAAGAAUCUCAAUUAGCAAGUCUUUGCUAUCUUUUCUCCUUUUAAAGUACGUCACUAAAUAGGCUUGCAACUUCUUGUUGUUGUUGUUGUUGUUGUUGUUGUUGUUGUUGUUGUUGUUGUUGUUGUUAUGUACUCCUUUCCAUUUGUCCUUGCAGCAAUUAUGAUUUAUUGGACUUUAAUUUACACCAUUAGUUUUGGAGUUUCAGGCAGUGUCCCUAAAGGCCUAUCCUAUUAGUGCCAUCAUAGUGGUUGGUUUUGUAUCAGUUGGCACGCUUUUAGUGUCAAUUUUGCGAAAGAAAAGUAGCUUAUAACUUAAAAGUUACACACACUUUUGGUUAACUAGCUCCCGAUUGAGACAGACCUCACGUUUUAAUUAUUUGUGAAAGUGAGUUAAUUUGGAAAAAUAUCUACAUGUAGGGACAAUAUGUAUGGGUAUAUAUAUUUAUAUAAUAAAUUAGAUGUAAUUUAGAUACAAUAAGUAUUAUCAAGUUUGUAUGCACAUCCAUUAGAAAAAUUCUAUAUAUGACUGUGUCUAUGGAUGAGGUGAAAAUAAACAAAAAAAAAAAUUGAACUAAAUUGGUUUGAGGGGAAAUUUUGACUAAUGGCCUUGGUAAACAAGAGAGGUGAGAAUUGUUGAUGGCAACUCUUGGUUUGAGGGGAAAUCUUGACUAAUCCACUUGAUAAACAAAGAGAGGUAAGAAAUAUUAAUGGCAACUUUUAGUCCAUGGGGCACAUGAAGACAUAGGGUUUGAGAUGGCACCAAAAUAUUAAUCAUGCAAUAAAUACCACUCUAUGGAACUUAACUACUCUGAUUACUCAUAGCCAUAAAGGUAAAUUCUUGCUGGGCUAGGCUUCUUUAUAUAUAGUUAAGUGGAAACUUAUGUUUUGGAAAUCAAUAUUGUUCAUAAAAUAGUUCAUUGCUUAUGUUAACUAUACACCAAUUUUUUUAUCAUUUGAUUAAUCAUUCCAAUUUUUUCUCUAAUUUUGACCAAUUUUUUACUAUUAAAAUGUAAAUUGAAUGUCACAAUACUCUCAAAUAAAUGUCAUUUUUUUUAUUAUGUUGCUCUAUUCAUUAAAAUAAUAACAUAACCAAAUGAUUUUACAAAAUUAUACUAUUUCAUAUAUAAAUAAAUAGAGAGAAAUUUAAUCGAGAGGAUUCUAGCCAGUUUUUUGCCCAGUCUUAUAGGCUGCUAGUUAGGGCAUAUGGAACGCUAAGACUAAGGACAAGGAAUUGAUUUAGUUGGCUAGACUAGCUGCUGUAUAGCCUUAUAGUCCCAUCAAAAUGGCCUUGUCUGAAACAGCGUUUGUUAGUUGAUUUUUUUUUUUUUUUGGUUCGAGUUUGUUAUCGAUGCAUAUACGGAACUUGCUUGUAUGUAUAACACAGACCGCAGGCAGGAACGGUUGCAGGUCCUAGUGAUUUUGUGCAUUUUACACACCGCGUAACUUUCUUUGCACAUUGUGUAACUUUGUUUGCACAACAUGUAACUUUUGAACAAAUUUUUGUGGCUCCCACACACGUUGUGAAAAUCGAGGUACACGAAGUGAUCUGAGUUGUAUAAAUUUUUUGGGUCAAAUCAUAGCCGUGAACUUCCUGCCCCUCCUCCGUAUAACUCUUCCAAUAACCUGACAAAACACUGACUUUCACAAGUAUCCGGUUAAGUAAGGUUUAGUUUCUUAUCUCUAGGAUCUAGGCAAAUUUGAUCAUUUAUGUAUUAUUAUUUACCAAUUUAGUCCGUUAUCUAUAUGAAACAAAUCCAAUAUAGGAUUUGUAACGGAAAAUUAGAAAAUCGUAUCAAAAUUUAAAAAAAAAAUUGUUCCCUUUAUCUUUGUGGUCGUAUCCAAUUUAGUUUUUUAUGUUUCACUAUGUACCAAUUUAAACCCUUAUAUUUACAAAAUAAAGUCAAUGUAGGACCUUUAAUAGAAAAUUGGUGAACACUAAUGAGUUAAAAAAAAAAGGAGCAGAAUACACAAAAAAAAAAAAAAAAUCCUUGGGAUAGAAAUUGAUGGAAUUGCGAAUGGGGUUUGUAUAAUUUUCUUUAUAACAUGCUCAAUUUUGUUUCAAUGGUACAUGUACUGUGCAAAGCAACACCACCAUUAGGGUUGCCUAAUUUUUCAUUGAAAUUCUUUUAUUGGUUUUGCUUUAAGGAAAUAAUGGUUUAAUUUGUUAGAUGGUGACGUGUAAUCGACCAAAUUAGUAGGCGGUUUAAUUUGGUAAGGGACCAUAAUGGUCACUUUCAAUGGUGCACAUGACGUGCACACUACCAAAUCCCUUAACGUUUUUUCAAUUUUCUAUUACAUUGCUGUCAUUUUGUAAAGUAUUGGCAGAUAGUUAUACAUAAAGAACCAAAUUGGUCAAAACUUGCAAAAUAAGAGACCAAAAUAAUUAUUUUUCCCUACGAGAUUGGUUCAAAAAUUAGAGUUUUUGGGUUCAAAUCUCACUAAAUAUAAAUGCAGUUCUUAUUAAUCCCACCAUUAUGGUAACUUUUAAGGCUUAGUCAUGUAUAGCCCCUUGUAAUUAGCAUCAAGCAGUAAAUUAGCCCAUGUAUUAAAAAAAAAACUUACAAAUUGCCCCCUACUAAGUACUAAUCAAAUGUAUGUGUCUAGCAAAAAGACAAUGAUGCCUUUAUUAUUAGCCAUUGUUAGAUGAGUAAAUGGCAAGAAUGUCCAUUGAACUAUCUAAAAUGGCAUGGUCUGGUUACCGAAUUUUUUUCACUAAAAAAGUCACACAACUCCUUUAAAUGGACCAUUUGGGUUACUCUCCGCUAAAUCAAUUGGAAAUGACCUACAAUUUAAGACAUUUUUGCCACUGAAAACCUUCAAUAGGAAGUCAAGUUUGCUUCUUUCUAGUUGGUUUACCAACUAAAUUGGACAUAUGAUCCAAAAGAUUUGUUUUAAGGAAUUGAGUGAUCUUUUUGCCAAAAAAAAAAAAGUUCGGUAACCAAAAUGUACCAUUUUAAAUAGUAUAGUGACCAAAUUCACUAUUUACUCUUGUUAAAUCUCUUUUCCCUUCUCUUUCAUUUUUAUCUUUUUUUUCUAUUACGUAUAGUUCUCUUUUUACUCCUCUGUAUCAACUGUGAUGUACAAAUUUUGAGAAUAAUGUACUAAAGAAAUUUUUUUCGUGGUUUAACAUAUACUAUUUUUUUAAAUAAAUUUUUUGAUACAUAAAUAUAUCUAUCAUUAUUUAGUUAUGUAAAGCAUUUAAAUAUCGUAAAUUAUUAUAGAAAAUAAGAAAUCAUGCAUUUUGUAAAAAUAAUUUAAGUUGUUUCUAUUGUUGUUUAACAAUUUUUUGUCGUGCAUUAAUUGCUGAUAAAAUGUUAAUAAUGCCCUAGUAUGCAUUAAUUGUUAAUAAGAUGUUUAUGAUGCACUAUUCAUUAAAAAAAUUAGAAACUACAUAAAAUAAUAUUAAUAAAUUUACACUUUUUAGUUUCUUAUAAUAAUUUAAAAUAGUUAAAUAUUCUAAAGAAGAAUAACUAUAGUUGAAGUGUCAAAUAAAUUGUUAAUAAGCAUAAAGAAGAAAAGAAAAUGAAGAAAGAGAGAAAAUAUAAAUAAAAUAUUUAUACUAAAUAUUUAAUUUUUAUUUCUAGUAAUAAUUAAUGUAUAACAAGAAUUUGUUAAGAUCCAUCCUUUAAAAGAGAUUUUGUUGUUAUGAGAUUUUGAGAUAACUCACUUACUUUUGAAAGACACGGGACUUAAGCUGACUUUUAAACAAUUUGUACGUUGAACUUAAACUGCUUCUUCUCCAACCUGUCCUACCAUCAAAGGCAAAUGGCCUUCCUGUUACAAUUGGAGGUACAACUUUUUUCCACUCGCUGGGGGAGAGUUAAAAUAGAAAUUACUUAGAAUAAAUAUGUAUUUUAUAAUUUUUUUAUGAUAAUUAAUUUUUUUUAAUAUGAAAUUCUUAGCACAUUACUAUCAAAAUUUAUAUUUCAUAGUAGAAAUUAAGGAGGAGGAAUACAAAAUUUAAACAAUAAUAAGAAAAACAACAAGAACAAAGAGAAACGCACAAAUGAUCAUUUGACAAUUAAUAUUCUAACAAUGAGAGCAUAAUUAUCUUUUUGCUACCCAAAUACAUCAGACUAGUGUCAUCAGGGAGAAUUUAUAGGUUUCAUGAACUCAUGGGACUAUUUGCUACUGAUACCUAAUUACAAAGGGGGCAAUAUUUCGCUUGCAUUAUAAACACAUUUUUCAAUUCACAUUUUUAUAUUUUCAACCACCUUUUUAUCUCACAUACAUCAAAUCACAAAAAAGUGUUACAGUAAUUAUUCCAAAUAAUAUUUCAAAUAAUACUCUAAACAUUUACGCUAAACAUUUUUACCUGGGCAAAAAUCCUUUGUCUCAAAAUUAUGUUCUUCAAGCAUCAAUUGCACCUCGAACUAGCUUUUGUUUCAAUUUCUGUAGUACUCUCAAUCGAUUUUCGAUGAUUCUAUACUUAAAAAAUCGUACCUGCGCCACAAAUUGUAGUACGUACAGCCUGCUGCUAGCAUUUAAGAUUCAAUCACUUAGGAGGUUACAAUUUCUAAUUAAAAUUCAAAGUCGGUUGGCAGCCUAACUACCUCUAAAUUAGGGCUAGCUUAUCGUGGCCCCAAAGCUAGCACAUUAAAGUUCUCCUAAAAUUAAGUAGUAGGCUUGGGAAAAAAAAUGCAAACUUUUAAUGAUGAAUGAUCUCUACCACGCUGAGAAGGCCUAAGUCUAAUGAUCAAGGUUGAAACUCCAAAUUUAUAGGUUUUGGAUUCAAAUCCUCCUUCCUCUUUUCCGCUUCCUAAAUUUCAUAUUCCUCCUUUGCUAGCUAAAAAAAAAAAAAAAUUUUUGUUUUUUGAUAUCUACUUCAAAUAUGAUUCUAAGGUGAAAAAUAGCACUCAUUCAUCAAAUCAUAGUCGUAAGAUUUUCUUGCAAAUAGUGGUGGAUAAUUUGGAUUGAGUUCAUUUCAUAGCAUAAAAUGUAUAAGUUGUCAGGAAUAAGAGAUUCUGAAUAUAAAUCCCACUAUCCCUUCCUCGUUUCUUAAAUCCUAUCAUUUCCUUACUGAAAAAAAAAAAAAACAGACGUAGUUGGGCAGGUGGCAAACCUGUUCGUUUUGUUUCAUUAAUAUGAAAUUCUUUGACAUAAUAUUCUUUGGAGUUAGCUUUAGAAAAUCCUCUAGUGCAUUAGCAAAGUACAGUUAGCAGCCUCUAUUCUCUUCUUUCUGUAGCUCACAAAAGUGAAGCAAUAGCUAGAGUUUCCUUUCAAGCGCCGAAUGUUCUGAAACAGGAGAAAUCCCUCUCUUGCCUAUGCAAUUAAUUCUGGUGACUGUAUAUUAGCAGUAAAAUCACACGGGAUUCAGGGCAGAAUUUGCGUGAUUCAGCCAGCAAACAUCGCUAUGAAACAUUGUACCGCACUUUGCCAAUUCUUCAUAUCGCAAUUUCCCUGUGGCGACGCCUAUAUAAAUGCAUCCUCCUCCAGCACAUUCUAAGAAAUCAAUAGGUGCACUGAGCACGCAUAUAACCUUAGAAAAAGUGGCAUAGGCAGUGAAACUAUGAAUCCUCCAACCAUCCCUUUUUGGCUGCUAGUAGUACUGUUUUCUCUUAUUGGCUAUUGUAUUCACGUUGUCAUAACGAAUUUCAGCAAGCACAGGGCCAAGAAACUCCCUCCAGGACCUUCCCAAUUUCAAACCAUCGGUAUGUUCCGAACCAGUGAACCUUUCCACGCAUCACUUGCGAAAGUCUCUCAAACUUAUGGACCUCUAUUGUCACUUAAGCUGGGAAGCAAAACAAUGAUAGUUGUUUCAUCACCGAAAAUUGCCAAGAAAUUUCUUCAUGAGCAUGAUCUUGAGUUCUCUGGCAGAUUACCUGUUGAUGCCGCCACAGUAUUUGACCACCAUAAACUGUCUAUUGUCUGGUCACCACCACAAAGGCCCUGGCGCAUUCUUCGCAAAGUAUGCAAAGAACAUAUAUUUUCAUCAGAAAGACUCAAAGCUGGUCAAGGGCUCCGCCAAGAAAAGGUGCAGCAUCUGUGCAACUAUGUACAAGAAUGUUGUAUCAACGGGCAAGCUAUAAAUAUUGGUGAAGCUGUCUUCUCAACAUCUCUUAGCUUGAUGUGGAACACCUUCUUCUCGGUUGAUUUUGGACAAUCAGAUUCUAUCUCGUCCGAAGAAAUUAAAGAAAUUGUAUGGUGUAUGCAGAAAACUCUUAGCAGUCCCAAUCUUGCGGACUUCUUUCCCAUCCUCAAAGCGGUAGAUCCCCAGCGUCUAAAGGGUCGAGCCAAGUUUUAUAUGGGAAAGCUACUUGAUAUUAUUGAUGGUAUCAUACGCCGAAGAGUACAAGAAAGAGACGCAUCUCUCGCUUAUACAAGGAAAAAUGACUUCUUGGAAACCCUCCUUGAUCUUAAUCAGCAAAAUGAAGCUGUAUUAAGCUACCGUAGCUUGAAACAUUUCCUUCUGGUGAGUAAAUGCUCCUGAAUUAGCAACACAAACUUUAACUGGGUACUUAUAACUCGUGAAUUAUGCAAAAUCAAGGUAGUUUUUCUGACCUGAUGACCAUAAUAUGAUGCAAAUAGCUAUUGCUUAGCAUUGCUAAGAAUUUAGAAGCAAUUCCAAUUUGUUCUGGCCGUUAUUUUGGAAACCGAUAAUCUUCAAUUGAACUCAAUCAACGUGCUUAAGUCUGAAUCAAUCUUCAGUGAUUAAUCAAUAGUUAAAUGAUUUGAUAUUGUCAUGUAUGUCAAGACUCAAGAGGCCUGAAAUAAUAACUCGUGUGUAAAUACUCAUUAGCUGUGAAUCAGAAUAUCAACUGAAACAAAAAAUGAUUGGCUGAUCAAAUCACUUCUCUAUUUCAGGAUUUAGUCAUUGCAGGGUCAGAAACAAGUUCAAGCACCGUGGAAUGGGUGAUGGCAGAGUUACUACGAAGCCCUGAAAUAAAAUCAAAAGCUAGAGAUGAGAUCAUGGAAAUUGUUGGAAAAAGUGAGCUCGUUCAAGAAUCAGACAUCUCAAAUCUCCCUUACUUGCAAUCAUUAGUUAAAGAGACCUUUCGGCUUCACCCCGCUGCCCCCCUACUGGGUCGCAAAGCUGAGAGUGAUACAGAAAUCCACGGCUACAUGGUGCCACAAAAUGCUGAAGUUAUGGUUAACUUGUGGGCUAUGGGCAGGGAUCCAUGCUUGUGGCCAAAUCCAAAUUUGUUCCUACCUGAACGAUUCAUGGACAGAGACAUUGAUGUGAAAGGCAAUCAUUUUGAGCUCCUUCCCUUUGGCACGGGAAGGAGAAUUUGUCCUGGACUGCCACUGGCUCAUAGGGUGGUGCACGUCAUGGUGGCUUCCUUGCUUCAUAAAUUUGAUUGGAAGCUUGAAGAAGAAAUCAAACCAGAGCAACUUGACAUGAGCGAAGAGUCCGCACUAACAUUACACAAGGCAGUGCCCCUUAGGGCCAUUCCUGUUAGAACCACAGUUUAAUGAUUGGUAUUUGAUAGGUUGGCAUCCUAUCUAGUUUAAAUUUGAGGAAAGGAAUGUAAUUUUUAUCAUUAGAGUACCAAGAAAACACAAUAACAGUGGGACUAGACCACUUAAAGUACGUAUGCCUAUAAUAUGUGUACUUGAUAUAAAAAUGUGUUAGAUAUUUAGGUUUUGGUGUUUCUAUCAUUUAACAAUUCCUAUCAAGCAUGCAAAAUAGAUACAUUAUAUGCCUAUCAAUUAUGUGUCAGCUGGACUUAAGUGGGGCAGAUUUGAGAAGUUAGGAUUCAAAAUGUUUAAAAAUUAAAAUUUAAGAUCCAAAGAAAAAAUAAAAUUCAAGGAUGUAAAAUGGAAUUAGUCCGUGUAUAAAAUACAUGUGUAUCAUUCGACAGAAGCACCGGGACUUUGCUUGAGAAAACGUUAGGUAUAUCAUUUCGUAGAACCACCGGUGCUUUUUUGCCUUGUCAGAAAUGUCAAUGAGCAUCAAUGCAUGAAACAGUUGAUUCGAAUCACAAAAUCAAUAUGAAAAGUUGAAAAAAAAAAGCUCUAUAAAUAGGUAAAUAAGACUAUCGUCUUUAGCACAAAUACAUCGAAUAGUCAAAAAAGACAAUUUUACUAUGAUCAUUUUACUACAACCAUUAAAUAAUGGCACCCCCUAAAUAUUUAAAAGGCCAAGUUUCCGGUCGAGUAGGGUUGUGGUGUAAAUAAAAUGACCAUUUUGCCCUUAAUUAAACUGAAAUGGAACUUGUGAGGCCUGUGAUCCAGCUAUGACAAUGCUACUUCUCUUGAAGAGUGAAAUGCUGAAUGAAAUCGGUGUUGCGCGUUGCCUUGAAUAGUAUCCUGCAUCAAAGACUAAUACUAUAAAACAAAAAGAAUCAGCAGCGGAAUUGUUCAAAAGUGGUAUUCCCAACAGCAUCCUUGAAUCAGUUCAGUUUUCUCUAGCAGCAGAAAGUGCUGGUACUUUGCUUUCAACAGAUGUUUAAUCAAACCCUAUCAGGUCUUUGCAGGGCUUGUGAUCAGAGCAGUAUUAAUCGAGUUGGUUGAUGAGUCAAACCUGUAAUGAACUCUCUAGCUUUAGAAAAUAGUAAUCAAACUUUACUUGAUGUCUUGAUAAUUAUGCCCAGGGCCUCGAUCCUCAAGCACCGCAUGAGGUGAACCGCCUAGUGCAUAGAUAAUGCACAGAAAGAAAGCUGGAACAUGAGAAUGGACGAAUUGCUUCAAACGGCAUUACUGUUUAAAAUAGUGUUUCAUAUAGCAAAGUUACUCGAUUUGCAAACCAAAAACUACAAAUCGUGAUUCGCUAAUACUCUGUAAACACAAGAAGGAUUCUUGAUAGGGAUUCUUAAUAAAUUCAAGGGUAAAUGGCAGCGAACCCCCUAAAGUUUGGUCUCAAAGUUACUUUGCUUAGAGUUAAUUUUUGAGCACUUAGUCCCCUUUGGUCAAUAAAAACAUAUUUGAGCGUCAAAAAAAUUCCCACUGAACUUCCAAAAGUGCUCAUAGUUCUACUUACUGUGGCUAAUUAGAAAAAUAUAGAAGACACUUGCAACUUGCAAGGGACAAGAAACAGACAAUUAACAAGCCAAGGGGGCCUAAGUUUUGAAAAUUUUAAUUUAUAGUAUGUAAAUAUAUAUUAAAAUAAAAUUAUUAUUUAUUUUUUAUUGUGCUAAGUGUUUAACUUUAAAAAAAGUAAACAUAUAAUUUGAUGAUCCAUAGUAAAUUGAUCUAAUUUGAUAUAUUAUAAUAAAAAACUCAAUUCAUAAUUAUUAAUGGGGUAAAACAAAAAUAAUUAUUUUAUUUCUCCAUAUACAAAUACACAACUUAACCCAUUUGAUUAAAUUUGUUUGCACUCUUUCUGUAUCAAUUGCAACUAUAGAAUGGACAUUUUCAAUUAUGACGAUAACCAAGACAAAGUUCCGAAACAAGAUGGAAUAUAAUCUGUUAAAUGAUUGCAUAACUAUGUACAUAGAAAGGUAAGUUGCUAGAAAAUUUAGCACUACUUCAAUUAUAGAUGAAUUAGUUCUAUGAAAGAACAAAAAGUUCAAUUUACUUUUAAGAAAAGAGGUUGAAAUUUCAAAAUAUGUUAACAUAAUUUUUUAUCUUUUUUUAAUCGAAAAUAGUUAUAUAUACAUAUAUAUUUGCACAGGUGACGUAUUGAAGCAUCUUCUCAUCAUGUGCAACUUGAAUAGUUUGUAAUAGUAUAAGAUAUUUGAUCAAAGGUUAUUUUUUGUUUUAAUUUUCAUUAUGACUAUGUUGCAUAUUUAUGAAAUAGACGUACCUUUAUAAUUAAAGUUAAUAUUUGAUAUUUUUAGAUGACAUAUAUUUAAAUAUAUGAAAAUUAUUUUGAACAUAAUAUAUUAACAUAAUUUUGCUAGGAAAAAUUUUGAUCCCCAGAAAAAAAAAAUGUUGACUCUGUCACUUUCCAGAUUCUCUAAUGAGUUUGGAAUUGAUACAAAGAUGCCCGAAAGAAAGCCUGCAUUAUAAUCGAUCUCAUAGAUCAACAAGGCUCUGAAAAACACAUGGGAGUGCAAGCUGCAGCAUCAAUGGAGAGAAGGCAACGCCGCUGCAGAUCAUCUAAAGCCAAGACUAGCAUGAAAUUGAGGCAAGGAGAGGAACAGCACUAUGUUGGAUCACCAGUGUCAAUUAGGAGUUUACUGACUUUUGAUGAUGUGGUUGGCAUUACUACGCCAAGAUUUUGUCUCGAUGUAACCAGUGACGGAGCCAGAAAAAUUUUUUAGUGGGGAAAAAAUAAAUUCUAAAAUUUUUUACUUAUUUUUUUAAGGAAAAAAAUAUUCAUCAACAACUACAAAUGAUGCAUAUAUUUCAUGAAAAAUAUCAAAAGACAAACUCAAAAUUAUUAAUGUAAUAAUAAUUUUAUUUAAAAAGCAAACUAAAUCAUUUACAAUUGCUCAUGACGAGUUUUCAUAUUUUGAUAACGAUUUACAAACUUUUCAUUUUGAACUUUACGAAGUAUAUUUUUCUCAAUAUAAGUAACUAAACAAUUAUUCAUUCAAGUAUCUUUCAUUCUACUUUGUAAUCGAUUCUUCACUAUAUUUAUCAUUGAAAAAACCCUUUCUACGGUAGUUGUAACAACAGGUAAAAUCAAAGAUAACUUUAAAAACAUAUAAAUCAUUAGAUACAUAAAACUUCAGGGGACAUACUUGAAAUUACAUCAAAUUUUUAUAGGUAUUAUAGAAAUUUAAGAGGGGCAAUGGGGGCUUAUAAACCAAUAUAUACACAAAACUCCAGAGGCACCGUUGAAAUUAUAUCAAUUUUUUAUAAAUAUCAUAGAGAUUUAAGGGGACAGUGGAGACCCGUGCCCUAGUGCUCCCAGUGUAAAUCCACCACUAGAUGUAACGGGUUUCCAUCCUCCUAAGCACCAAGAAAAGAAAAAGGUUUUAGCAUUAAACAUUAAGCGGGUUUAUUACCAUUUAUCCUAAGUUGAAAAGCAAAGGGAGAUAGGGAAGAGAAACUAUCAAAUGCUCAUAAGAAAAUGUAAUGUUAUAGAAAACUACAAAAGAUGCAACAUGCAAGAUCAAGUAUUUGAAAUAAAAACUGCAAACUGUUCUGCAUGGGGAUAUAUUCAGGGGAAAAAAAAAGGGGUUAAUUCCACUUUGUCCCCCCAAACUUUGGACGAUUAUCUACUUAAGUCCCUAAACUUCAAAAUGGGACACUUAAGUCUCUAAACUUAUAAAUACCUCUCACUUAAGUCUCUGAACUUAUAAAAUGGGAUACUUAAAUCCCUAAACCCUUAUAAAAUUGGACACUUCGACCACCAACGGCAUUCAGGAUUUGUUAACAAUUUUCCUUAAGUGAGAGGUAUUUAUAAGUUUAGGGACUUAAGUGUCCCAUUUUGAAGUUUAGGGACUUAAGUGGGUAAUCGUCCAAAGUUUGGGGGGACAAAGUGGAAUUAACCCAAAAAAAAGGGUCCACUAGUAAUGAAACUGUUUUGGCUACCUAUGGUGAAAAGUAACACAGAAAAAUUAGCUAAAAUUUGAUUUUAAUGUCCCUUAACAGUUAUAAUUUACAGUCUGCGAAACGAAGUAAAAUGAGUUUUCUUCUUUUGGUUUUUGACUUCACUAACGAAAACAUGAAUUAACAAUUAAUAAUUAUUCUACCACAUCAAUUAAUUAGAAACUGAAAAGUAGCCCAUUUUAAAUCUGUUCCGGAUCCAAACCCAUAAUCUCGUUCGGUUAGACUCUGGUUUUCCACUCCGACCCCACAAUGCCGCUGAAAAUAAUCUCCGGCACCGGCAGAACAUGCUCGAUUUCGUCCCUUUUCAUCACCUUCUCCCUUCUCUGCAUCCUCCCACUCUCUUUUUUCUUCUUCCUUUCCAAUCCCAGAUCGACCCCUCCUCAGAAUCUUCUAAACAAGCUUCAAAUCUCCGAAAAUUCCAUCAAAGUCUACAUCCCAGAGCUUCCCAGAUCACUCAACUACGGCCUGUUGGAAACAUACUGGGCUUUAACCUCAGAUUCAAGGCUUGGAAGUGAAGUAGAUAAUGAAAUCCGAAAGACCCUUUUGUCCAAAACUUCUAAGAAGUUCCCUCCGUACCCUGAGAAUCCAUUAAUUAAGCAGUACAAUGCGGAGUACUGGAUAAUGGGGGAUCUGUUGACGCCUGAAGAGCUCAAGAAAGAAUCUUUAGCCAAAAGGGUUUUUGAUUUUAGGGAAGCUGAUGUGGUUUUUGUGCCUUUUUUUGCUACCCUUAGUGCUGAAAUGCAGCUGGGAGUGAAUAAAGGGGUGUUCAGGAAGAAAGUCGUGGAGAAUGAGGAUUAUCAGAGGCAAAAGAUGGUGGUGGAUCUUGUGAAAAAGUCUGAGGCUUGGCUGCGGUCCGGUGGUCGUGAUCAUGUCUUUGUUCUUACCGGUAAUUUGCGAAUUUAGGACCAUAUUUAUGUGUUUUCUUUAUAAUUGAUUUGAAUUUUGGUGAUGAUUACUAGUGAUGGCUGAUUUCUUCCUAGUGUAAAUAUACUUGUGUGAAUGGCAAUGCUGGUUGCUUUGGUUAUCUGUAUAUAGAUGUAUGCCUACGGAAAAAUGCUACAUUUAUUUGAUCUAUUGGCGGCAGCAAAACUUUUGACUCGCAAUGUGCCCUUAAACAAACUGAGAAGGUAAAAGAUCUGUACUUGAAUUAACGACAUUAUCUCUGUUAUGCCACUAGGCAAAUGGGAGUAGAUGGUCAGGCUGUUGUUUGUGUAUUCGCUAUUUGAAUCACUACAAUGUUUUCAUGUUUAGUCUAGUCUUGGUUGGAGUUUGAUUCAUGUCUGAUUUUAUUGGACUGUGCAUAUCAUUUUUUUUGAAUGGUGAGUAGAUUGCUUUGAUAAUGUACCAAUGAAAGGAUUAGCAUAAACAGGCUUCAGUUAGCUUUGGAGCAGGAAAUUAUGACUUGAACUUUCUAAUGUGUUUCGUGCAUUUGCUAGUCCACAAUAAAAUUGUAGGGCGGUUUUUUCUUUUAUCUUGUACCAUAUGAAUAUUUUGCAAGAGAGGAAACUGUAUUGCAUGCUGUUGCAGCUUAUAAUUUAGUCUUUGGAUUGUCAGGUUAUGUUAAAACUUGAAGCAUUCUUUGGCAGACCCUGUUGCAAUGUGGCAUGUAAGAGAGGAGAUAGCCCCUGCAGUUCUACUUGUGGUGGAUUUUGGUGGGUGGUACAGGGUUGACUCAAAAGGUUCAAAUGAUAACUCAUCAGAUACGAUUCAUCAUACUCAGGUUUCUUUACUGAAAGAUGUAAUCGUUCCCUAUACCCAUCUUCUGCCAAGGUUGCAAAUAUCAGAAAACAAGAAACGACAUACUCUUCUUUAUUUCAAAGGAGCUAAGCGUCGGCAUCGGGUUAGUAUUCUUUUUUUUUUUUUUUUUUUUUUUUUUUUUUUUAACCAAACGAGAACAUUUUAUAGAUAUUAACGCUUGAUAAUACAAGAGUUAAUUACAAAAGGGGUAACUACCCCCAUAUCUUUCCUAGCUAAAUCUGUUAACCAUGUUGGGAAAGAAGUUUCCCAUUCAAUAUUCCUAACCAACUUGACAGCGAGUUGUGCCAUUGCAUGACUACAACCAUUCGUAGUCCUGGGAGCAAAGAGAACUAAGCAACUGUCAAAGCUAUCCUUGAGGGCCACAAUGUCUUCUAGGAUUGUUUGUAUCUUACAAUCCUGAACAUUAUCCGUAUUAAUAGAGCUCACAACAUUUUUGCAGUCUGACUGGACUUCUACUUUGGUCCAUCCUGCAGCUUGAGCCAUUUCCAGCGCACUCCUGAUCGCUAACGCUUCCUCCGUGGUAGCCUCCCCUCUUCUUCUUCCAACAAUUCCUCGGACUUUCACUAAUUCCCCACGCCAGUUCCUUGCAACUAUCCCUUGACCAGUUCUGACCAUUUUUGCUGAAACUGCUGCAUCCGUGUUAAUCCUCAUGAUUCCCUCCUUGGGUGGCUCCCAAGUGUGCUGAGCCAGUCUUCCCCUCUUGGAUGAUGCAGGUGCCCGGGGAUCUGUUCCAUUUGCCUCAUCGUAUUCGAUCCACUCCUGUUGAGCUUUGUCGAUGAUCCCUUUUGCGUCCACACUUUCCAGCUGAAAUGCCAUCUUGUUCCUCGCUUUCCAGAGCUGCCAAAGGAUAUUCACUGUGAGUUUUAUUCGAUCCAUUCCUUGUGCUUCCUUAGCUGAUUCCAACACCGCAUCCCACCAUCUCCACACGUUGCAUUGUAGUUCAACUAGCCCUUCCCAUCUCACAGGAGCUAACCUCCACACCAUUUGAGCUUUUGGGCAAAAGAAAAAUAUGUGUUCAAUGGUUUCGGUAGCCUCUCCACAGCAAUAACAAAUGUUGCUUCCUUUUCCAACUCUCUGAUGUAGUGCUUCAUUAGUGGCCAGCCCAUUCUGUAAACACCUCCAUAAAAAAUGCUUCAGCUUCAUCUUAAUAUUUAAACUCCACACUUUUUUCCACACCGUGUGCUUCCUUACUUCCCAGCUAGUCUCUGAAUCAGGUUCUAAUCUACGGUUUAUGGUGUCCCUUCCCCCUUUUGCAAAAACAUAACCUGAUUUCACUGUAUAGACCCCAGCCUUAGUAUGGUUCCAAUAUAGUCUGUCCUUCCUAUCAUAAAGGCUUAGAGGGAUACUAGUAAUAUGCUCUACAUCAGCUGCAUCAAACCAGCGCUGCAAGAGAUCAGUCUUCCACCUCCCUCCCUCAAUUAACUCAUGAACAAACUCUAUCUGGCAUCCCACUUGUCUUGCCGUGGCUACUUUCCCAGUAGUUGAUCCAGGUAACCAUCUAUCUUUCCAGAUUUUUAUCGCCCUUCCAUCUCCCACCCUCUUGUAUAACCCUUGUUGAAGGAGCUCUCCCCCCUUGUGCAAGCUUUUCCAGCACCAGGAAGCUGUGUGCGGGGGCUUUUGGUCUAACCAGUCCUCAUCCUUCAUGUACUUAGCUUUCAGGACCUUGCUUACUAACAAAUUAGGAUUGGUGACAACUCUCCAAAUUUGUUUUGCAAGCAAGGCCACGUUGAGAGCUUCCAAGUCUCUAAAGCCCAAACCCCCUUUCCCUUUAACCUCCGACAGCUUACUCCAUCUAACCCAAUGAAUUUUAUUUUCUGCAACCCCACCACCCCACCAGAAUCUAGCUAUGGUUGCACUAAUGGCCUUACACAAGCCUUUAGGGAGCUUGAAGCAAGACAUAAUAUAUGUAGGCAUGGCCAUAAUGACUGAUUUGAUUAAAACCUCCUUACCCCCUGGACUAAGCAACUUAUGUUUCCACCCUUGAAGUUUACUUGUGAUUACACUUUUCAGGUACCCAAAAAUCUGAUUCUUAGCUCUCCCAAUAGUCAUAGGUAAGCCUAAGUAUUUACCACUAGAGGCUUCUCUCAUGUUGUCCAAGACCUCACUAAUUUCCCUUCUAAUCAAGUUGGGAGUAUUUUUAGAGAAAAACAUAGCUGACUUAUCAAAAUUUACUACCUGUCCUGUGGCUUGACCAUAUAUCUGAAUGAUCUCCUUGACCUUUUGUGCCUCCUCCUUGCUUGCUUUGCAACACAAUAAUGAGUCAUCUGCAAAAAAUAGAUGUGAAACCAUAGGGCUGUCCUUGCAGACUUUGAUGCCAGUUAGUUGCUUUUUUUCCACAGCUUUCUUGAUUAAAUUAGACAGCCCUUCCGUACAUAUAAUGAACAGGUAGGGAGAUAGGGGGUCUCCUUGUCGGAUUCCUCUGGAAGGUUUGACGUUGCCCACCUUUUGUCCAUUUAAAUUAAAGGAGUAGUGGACUGUGGAAGUACACGUCAUGAUCCAGCGAACAAAAAUAGGGCAAAAUCCCAUUUGCAACAUAAUUCUGCCUAGGAAUUUCCACUCCACUCUGUCAUAGGCUUUAGACAUAUCAAGCUUUAAGGUCAUGAAGCCUACUCUACCUCUCCUCUUGUUUUUCAAAAAAUGCAACAUUUCAUGAGCUAUGAUCACAUUGUCUAGAAUUUGUCGCCCUGGUACAAAGGCAGAUUGUGAUGGGCUAAUACAAUGCUUGAGGACUUUUUUCAGUCUAUUGGCCAAGAUCUUAGAUAUAAUUUUAUAAAUCACCGUGCAAAGACUAAUAGGUCUGAAGUUAGUAAGCACUACAGGAUUUUCAACUUUAGGGAUUAAGGAGAUAAUGGUCUCAUUGAUGGCUGUUAAGAUUUUGCUAGAAUGAAAAAAGCUAGUCACAGCAUUAACAACAUCAUUUUUGAUAAUAUGCUAGUAUGUUUGGAAGAAUAAAGGGGGCAUACCAUCAACUCCAGGAGCUUUAUUAGGGAACAUGGAAAAAAUGGCUUGUUGAAUCUCCAACUCAGUCACAGGUUUAAUCAACUGUGUGUUCAUGAGACUGGAAAUAGUGCGAGGUAUGCCUAGCAACACUUCUUCAAAUUCGGUAGGAUCAUUAGACUUGAAGAGCUCCGCAUAGUGUUUGCUAAUUUCAGCUUCAAUUUCCUCUUCACUUGCACACCACACCCCAUUUGUCUUCUGGAGUAUGCUGAUAUUGUUCCGUUUCCUAUUAGCCAUGAUACUUAGGUGAAAGUAAGCUGUAUUCUUAUCCCCCUCCUUGAGCCACCUGCUUCUUGAUUUCUGGCUCCAAUAUAGCUCUUCAUCCUUGUAUGCUUUACUCAGUUGUAGCUUCAAGUUUGCAAUAGUUCCUUUCUUAUCCAGCUCACUCCCCUCACGUGCUACCCUUAGUUGCUCCUUUAGCUCCUCAAUUUUUGCCUUUGUAUUGCCUUUAUUUGCCUUGUGCCAUUCAAUCAAAGCUACUCUACAUUCCUUGAUUCGUCUCACCACUCUAAACAUUCUAGACCCAUGUUGCUCCAGCCCCCAAGCUCUUUGGAUAACAGCCACAGACUCCUCAUCCUUUGCCCAUCUCUGAUCAAAACAAAACCUUCUUUUUAUACCCCUUUGCUUCGGUUUAGUAUCCACCAUUAGCAGGCAGUGAUCUGAUGCUUCUUUCUCAAUGUGUUCAACUGUAGUAUUCUCAUACACUUGCACCCAUCCAACACUCCCUAAACAUCGAUCUAGCCUCUCUUUUAUCUCUCCCUCCCCUUCCCAUGUGUUGCUUCAUGUCCAAGGAACCCCUUUAUACCCUAUAUCCACCAAUUCGUUCCCAGAGACAAAACUAUUGAACUCCCUAAAACUACCCUCUGAUCUCUCUUUCCCUCCCCAUUUCUCCCCAUUUGAGCAGAUAUCAUUGAAGUCUCCCACUAUUAUCCACUUUUCCCCCCAUUCCCUUUUCUUUUCCUUUAUAGUCUCCCAUUGUUGUACUCUUACUCUUUCCUCAGUACUUGCAUAUAUUCCUGCCAGCCACCAGUGAUCAUUUAACUCCUUAUCUACCACCAUUGCUGCAAUGUACCACUCAGUGCUGUGUACAUCAAGCGGUUGCACCCCCUCCUUCCAAAACAAAGCUAAUCCCCCUGCUCUACCCUUGGGAUUCACGACAAGGCUAUGUUCAAAUUUAAUCCUUUUUUGUACCUGCUUCAUGUACCAUUCUUUGUUUUUUGUUUCACACAAAAAUACUAUACUAGGAGAGUGGAGGUGGAGUACCUCCUUAAGUUGGGGAAUUGUCAAGGGGCCUCCUGCACCUCGACAAUUCCACACCGCUACCUUCAUUGUGUUGGUGGAGGCAUUGCGGGGCUAGCCUCCAAUUCCCCUCCAUGUUGUGCAUCAUCUUGAUCCCUUUUUAAGCACUUGUGGUGUGGACCUUGUAAUGUGUCCUCUUCCAUUAGAUCCAAGUCAUGGCAUUCUUCCUGUGUUUUUCUUUUCUCUCCAAUGUUGCUCUCUGUCCCCCUGUCCGUGAUAUCUUUCAAUGGUACCCUUUUGGUGCGCAAGCUCCUCCUCCACUGAUUUUUCCUUCCUGGUUUGCUUUCACUUACUUGGAUUCGGCUCAUGGCAUCUAUUGUGUUACCGUCUUUGCUAUUCAAACUCCCCUUUCCUGACUUGUCUAUCCCCUCUCUAACAACACAGUCAUCUAACACCAUAUUCUCGGGGAUCUGAUUUUCUUUUCUAAUCAAGUCUACUUCCAGGUCCACUACCACCUUAUGGGCUUCAAUAUUUCCCUGCACUGUAGUUCCACUCCCCUCCUUUUGUUUUCCCUCACCCUCACCCUAUUUCUCUACUCGUCCUUUCAGUCCUGCACUUUCCCUCAGAAUCUCUCCCCAUUUUUCCUCCAUUGCCAGUUUUUCCUGAUCAUUUCCCUUAGUCUCCUUGUCACCCCCCCUGCUACUUAUACCACCCAUGACUCCAGAUCCUCCCUCAAGUAUCCCCCCUAUCCUGCUAUUGGAUCCUUUGUCUACCAUUGUCAACUUUUUAGGUUUCUGACUCGCCUCUGUGUUAGACGUGAAGCAUGCUUUCAAGGGGGAGGCCAUUAUAUUUCCUGCCCUCAUCCAAGCACCAUACUGGCCUUCCCUACAAGACAGUCCUUCCCUUUUGUCCCCUGUACAUGACUUGUCCCCAUGCCCAAUGAUCCCACAAUUGUAGCAAAAAUCGGGGCAUCUCUCAUACUUAAAUUCCACCCAUGUGUUCACUCCCUCAAGCUUUACCAACGUACCUCUCGGGAGAGGUUGUAGCAUAUCCACUUCAGCCAUAAUCUUCAGAUGUCUCCCAGACUUUCCCCCCCUGGUGGAACCAGUACCUCUCUCACCGACCUAAAAAUCUUUCCUAGCUUAAAGCCCACUGACUUACACAACCAAUGGACUGGAAGAUUCCAGAUUUGUACCCAAAUGUGUGCAAAUCUAAAAUGGUGGAGCUUCCUUUCACACCCAACCUCCCAUUCCUUAAUCACUAGAAUCUGAUUAUCCAUAAUCCACGGUCCUCCCAACAGGAUUUUUUCACGGUCCUCUCCCCUUUCUAACUGGAAUUGAAAAAGAUUUGGACCCAGCUCAGUAACAGUUAAGUUCCUGGGAUAUCCCCAUGCAUGAUUAGUAAAAUUCUUAAUACCCGUGAAAUGUGCAACCUUUUCGCCAAUCAACCUUCCCACCAGACUCUGCCUACAGUCUUGGAUCCCCUCACUUAUAUCGUCAGAGGAGAGAUCUACGCCUUCUAGCUCCGACUUAGACAGAUCGAACUUUCUAAAAGCUCUUGUUAGAUCUUCCUCCAUCCUCCAGAUUCUAGUUGUAGAGGUGCUACCUUGCACUAUUUCCAAUCGCAGAAGAUCCAGUUGAGUACCCCUGCAAAAACAGAGUAGGAGGGCACCAAAAAACAGCAAAAAACCUAAUCUAUACUACCAAAAAAGACAACUUCGAAUUCACGCACAUCAGCUCAUCGAAAGUUCAAGUCACCUUUUCUGGGUUGCAUCCUUCAAAUGUUCCUAGGAUCAUGACCAUUUCCACACAAGAAACAGAGUUGCAGCUCGGAGAAGAGUUUAUGGACGUGGGUUUGGGUGUCUCGGUUGUACGGAAGCUGAACAGUCACUAUUGGAAGUAAAGCUAGCUCUGUGUAACUUUCUAUUUUGGGUUGGCGCUGUUUUUUCAAUUUUGAAACCUCCUACGAUUGAGAAGAAAAGCUCUCAAACUAGAGAGAGAUGCUCUCAAACAAGAGAGAGAAACAAAAGCUAUUGUUUCCUCCUUGCAACUGCCCUCGGCAUCGGGUUAGUAUUCACUAUGUAGAAUAUUUGGCUGCUUAAGUAUUGGUUUGUGACCAAUGCCCAAGGUGUAUCUAUCAUUACCAAAAUGUAGAUUAAACAUUUAUACUGAGUUUUCUUAUUAGAGUAAAUCAAGUUAGUGGUGUUGCAUUAGUUUCAUGCUCAUUCACAAAAUUGUCUUUUCCUAGUUGCCGCUUACAUAUUUUUAAACCAUGAACAGUAUCUUUUAUGAAGUUCAUUUGUCUCUUUUUGAAAAUUUUCUUCAGGUAUGGAAAUGAAUUUCUUUUUCAUCUUGUCGGCCUCUCCAGUAGAUUUUCUUGAUCCAAAUAAUUUUCUGCCAUUGCCUCCUUUCAAAAUUGGAAUUUCUGUAACUUUACAUUAUUGGUUUGUCAAUAAUUAAAUUGGAUACUUGAAGCAAAUGUUUCUGCAACAAUUAAUAUGCACUGGUUAAAUCAUGAGUAUCUUUGUAAGUUUACAGCAAUUGCUCAGUUCAAUACCCAGUAUUCUUUUUUAUAUCCCCUGAUUGUCAGAAAGGUUUUCAAAUUGGUCUCUCAAGUUUCUAUUUCAAUCAGGGAGUAAGUGCUGUAUUCAGUGCUGCUGGAUAUUGAACUCUCACAAUUAUAUGCAAACUCUUUAGCCUGACGGCAAACCAAUAUUACCUUUAUUUUGUUUUUUUCUUUUUUAAUAAAAAACUUAGCUUCUCUGCCCCUUGAUGACUCUAAGUCAGAUAAUAUUUGAAAUCUGCAUUUCCAUUGUACAAAAUGUAAAAACUAAUAACACUUGUUUUUAUUACGGAUUCGUAAAAUUCUAAUUCGCAGGGUGGUCUAGUUCGGGAAAAAUUGUGGGAUUUCCUAGUAAAUGAACCUGGAGUUGUAAUGGAAGAAGGCUUUCCUAAUGCCACUGGCAAGGAGCAGUCAGUACGGGGUAUGAGGACAUCAGAGUUCUGUUUGCAUCCAGCUGGGGACACGCCAACCUCGUGUAGACUUUUUGAUGCCAUUCAAAGCCUCUGUAUACCUGUAAUUGUCAGUGACGACAUUGAGCUACCAUUUGAAGGAAUUGUGGAUUAUGCAAAAUUUUCAGUAUUUGUUGCUGUUAGUGAUGCAUUAAGACCAAAUUGGCUUGUCAGCCAUCUCAGAAGCUACUCUGAUGAACAGAAGAACAGGUUCCGUAGAAAUAUGGCCCAGGUUCAGCCUGUAUUUGAUUAUGAUAAUGGUCAUCCUGGUGGUAUUGGUCCUUUGCCUCCCAAUGGGGCGGUAAAUCACAUAUGGAAAAAGGUUCUGCAAAAACUGCCCCUUAUAAAAGAAGCCAUAGUGCGAGAGAGGAGAAAACCUUCUGGUGUUUCAGUUCCACUCCGUUGCCAUUGUACAUGAAUUAUUCAAUUGAAUGGUAUUUUUAUUAAUUUGUUGUAACAAUUCCCUCAUUCCCCUCAAAUUUUAUCAAAAAUAGUUUUCUUUUCCUUUUGAUGAGUUGAUUCUUUAUUGAGAUAUGGUUCAUUAGGACCACAGACCUUUUCCUCUCUUUGCUCUUGAAUUUCCAGAGCAUGAAUCUCUUGAUCAAUUUAAAUCAUAUAGAAUGGAUAUCUCUUUCUAAUUGCCUACUGGAGAGGGAUAUAGUGGUAGUGACCAAAUUGCUUGUACUAAACUUUAAAGGCAGAAAAAGAACAGUUUUAUGACCUUGUUAUUCAAGGCAAUUUCUCGUGGAGAUAGGUUUUAUGAUUCUUUCCAUCUGAAGAUGCUAGCAAAUAUGCUGCUACUUGAUGCAGCACCCCUUUCCAAGCCAAAUCUUGUAGGCAUUAUAAUAAAUGUUUCUUUUGGUUUCAUCCAAGGAAGGCAGCAGGUGGGCGAAAAAAAAAAAAAAAAAAAAAAAAUCUUUUGGUUUGAAUGGAAUGUCCAUCUAUUUGUUGUAUAGCUUCCGAAAAAGUUGUAUUACUAUCUAUUUCUUUUCUGUUUUAUGAGUCCAUUCCUCGUUGAAAAAGCUCAUCAUUGUUGCUCCAGAAAUCAUCUUUCAUCAGUUAUUAUUUUCAAGAUAACCAUAGUCUAGAUUGAUGAAUUUUCACACUUGAUGGACAGAUAAGCCAAUGCGUUCUGGAAAGGAAUCUGAGAAUGAAAUGUGCUUUAACGUUUUAUGGUCUCUCAAGACAUUGUCAUUUUAGGUAUUAGCUUUGGAUUUGUCUAACGUGUUUCUAAUGGGCACUCGUUAGUACACAUAAAUUGCAUUUAACUUAUAAUGUGAAUGGACUAUUGCAAUUAUUACACUCCCUGCAUUUAGACAAUUUUUUAAAAAUAGUUACAUUUUUUCAAAAAAAAAAAAAAAUUUAACACCUCUAUUAAUGAGUGUGCAUUUUUCAAUGAGCACUUGUUAGCCAAAUCGAUUAACUUUAAGAGAUGUAAUGAGUUAAGAAGUCCUUUUGAUGAGUUGAUUCUUUAUUGAGAUAUGGUGCAUUUUUCUUGGCAUCCUUAAGAAGUCCAUAUGGUAAGGACUGUUUGAAACGGUUUCGAAUUAGGGGUGGCAAUGGGGCUGGGCCGGGGGAAAUUUCCCCCGCAGGGCAUCUUUGGGGUUAAAAAAAUUUUAUUAUAUAAUUUCAUUAUAAUUAUAUUUGAGCAAAUAAUCAAGUACUAAAAUAUCAACACAUCACCAAAUUAUUAUUCAUUGUAACUUCAAAAUUGAAACUCAUAAAAAUAAUUAAACAAAGAUUAUUUGAAUACAAUCUAAUAUGAUAAACAAAUAUAACUAAAAUAAUCAAAUUUUUUCUUUUAAUACAAAUACAGUCACUAAAUUAUUAUUGUAUUUUUUUUAGAAAAAAGUGUUAUUGUAUUAAGUGUAAUUACGAAUUUAACAUAAAUGUAUUAAUAAAUUUAAUAUAAAUAAUUAAUAAUUUUUAUUAAUAGAUAUGUAUAAUUAGUAGUAUAAUUGAUAAUAUCAUUAUAUAUAUAUAAUUAUGUACACAUGUAUAUAUACAUAUUUUUUUUCAAACGGGUGGCGGGGCAGGGGCGUUUCUACAUGGGAGAAAAAAUUCCCCCCCCGCCCCACCCCCGGCCCCAAUGGCCCCCGCUGGACGGGUGCCCGGUGCGUUGCCAUCCUUAUUUUGAAAUACCUUUGCUUGUUAUCAGCAACUACAGUAGUCCGCUUAUUCAAAUGAUUGAAAAGAGAAGAAAGUAGGCUAGAAGUCUGUGAUUCUUUCCUUCCUGAGUCAAAGAUACAUGGAUUGUACUUGGCAGUGAGCAAAGGGGUGCUUUCAUUUGCGAAAAGUAAAUGAAGAGCCCGUCAUGUUGUUUAGUACAAAGCAUCCAUCUGCAACACUCUUCUCCUGGGAAGGGAGACUACAUAUAGCAAGCAACCACAAGUGGCAUUGUAUUGAUAACCUUUCUUAUAGGAGCCCAUGACAGUACUUCAUUUCUGUUUGUGCUAAAAAAUGAGAAGCAGGCAAAUGAGCGUUUGGAAGAGCUCAACCAAACUUGUGUUCAGUGCCAUUUUACCGCUUCCUAAUAGAAAGAAAAGAUUUGCCACAUUUUACUAACUUUUGGGGGUUUGUAGACUAAAGUUCUCAUGGCAUUCUAAUGCCAAUCUCAGGCUAAAAUUUCACAACGUUGCCCCAUCCUCCCCAUGACAAAGAUGCUCACAUGAAAAAGAAAAAGAAAGCCCUCCUUCUGAAAUGGAAGACUACCAUUUUUCAUAUGGAUAAUAUCUUGUGCUCCGCCCUGAAAUUUCAAAACUAAUUGCAGAAACCUACUAAGAUGCAUACUAGAGCACAAAGUAUGCGACUACUAGCAUCUUCACUGAAUAACAGGUAAAAGUAAUAAAGGUCAACUUCGUUGUUGUGAUUUGUAGACUUCAUCUCUGGAUGCAGUGUGAGAUAACUACUUUUUUUUUUUACUUCAUUUUUUUUUUCCGCUUUGUAAUUUCUUUUCUAGGUUUAUCAAAUGAAAUUGCGUUAGCAUCUCAACUCUUUAUAAGCUGUCACACAAAGUUAUACACAAUAAAACAUCCUAAUGCUUCACUUUUUUUUUUUAAAAAAAAAAAUUCUUAGAGUGAAGAUCUUUGAUCUGAUACAUGUGGACCACUUCCUUUGGUUUCUUUUGUUAUCUAGAAUGUCUAAGAGGUCCGUGAUGUUUUACCUAAGCUCAGAAACCUAAACCUGGUACCAAACCUAGUGAUGCAAUUGUUAACUGGCUUUUAUUAGCAUAAUGCUUCCCUACAAAGCUAAACAGACCCUAAAUUGUGAAGCAUCAGAAACACUUGAAGCAAAAUAAGACAAAAAAGGAGCAAAUACCUAGCCUUACUACUUUUCUAAGGAGCUAAUGUCCAUGUUAGCUUUGUCCAGUUCUAUAGCUAGUUAUUAACACACUAGCUAGCAACUGAUAUCACCUCCCCGUGGAAAAGGAGAAUAAGUCUCCAUUCCAAGAAUCCACAAUCACUAACAAUGAGAAAAGCCAAUCUGGAUGACAAUGUGGAGCUUCACCUGGAAAUCUCAUUUAUAGAUGCAGAAGUAAGAGAAAAUAAGUUGAAGAAAAAUCAUAAAGAAACACAGUGGCUGAAGAUAUUGGUUGCCAAAUUGUGAGUAGUUUAAAAAAAAAAAAAACUUCAUCAGAUGAUUGGCACAAUAAUUAUUUAUAAUCCUGUGCUAUUGCAGUUUAGCAAAUCUGGAAUACUCAGAGAGAGAGAGAGAGAGAGAGAGAGAGAGAGAGAGAGUCUUAGAAGGUGCAGCUAACAAAAUCUUAUUCUCAAGAAGCAGAUUUUUGACAAUCAAAACACAGAACAGAUACUAUCCAUAAAUGUCUAGCUAGACACCAUUGUAGAAUAAGACUUGUCUCCAAUUACUAGAAACCAACUCCAUUGUCUGAAAUUGGCAUUAUACUGUAUCUUUCUUUGGAAGUACAUUAGAAUGAAUAGAGGGACUGUAAAUUGGUGCCAUUGGUGCCACAGUGCAGAAAUAAAGAUUAAAAAAAAACAGGUGAUUCUAUUGACGCCCAAAAAAAGCUAGAUGCAUUUCAUGGCAAUGGCCAAUGAUUAAACACUUCAGUUACAGUAGGAUACAAAACAAUGAGAAGGUGCACUAUGUGCUCUCUACUGAUGAUUUCCAAGCACAAUUCUUUUACCCAUCAAAUAUUACUACUAUUUUACAUGUAUAGCAGAAAAUAGAGCUGCAAUGGAAAAGGCUAUAAAAU